UACGGGGGGUGCGAGCGUUGUCCGGAAUCACUGGGCGUAAAGGGCGCGUAGGUGGCUUGGUAAGCGUGUGGUGAAAGCCCGGGGCUCAACCCCGGGUCUGCCAUGCGAACUGCUAUGGCUUGAGCACUGUAGAGGCAGGUAGAAUUCCGGGUGUAGCGGUGGAAUGCGUAGAGAGUCCGGAAGAAUACCGGUGGCGAAGGCGGCCUGCUGGGCAGUGGCUGACACUGAGGCGCGGAAAGCGUGGGGAGCAAAC
rnacentral:rRNA from 1 species